UAGUGGUCAGAGGGCUUAUGA
rnacentral:miRNA from 1 species